CAGCUUGUUGGUGAGGUAACGGCCCACCAAGGCGACGAUCCGUAGCUGGUCUGAGAGGACGAUCAGCCACACUGGGACUGAGACACGGCCCAGACUCCUACGGGAGGCAGCAGUGGGGAAUCUUGCGCAAUGGGCGAAAGCCUGACGCAGCGACGCCGCGUGAGGGAAGAAGGCCUUCGGGUUGUAAACCUCUUUCAGGAGGGACGAAGCUACUCGGGUUAAUACCCCAGAGGGUGACGGUACCUCCAGAAGAAGCCCCGGCUAACUACGUGCCAGCAGCCGCGGUAAUACGUAGGGGGCAAGCGUUGUCCGGAAUCAUUGGGCGUAAAGAGCGUGUAGGCGGCCAGAUAAGUCCGCUGUGAAAACUCGAGGCUCAACUUCGAGCUGUCGGUGGAAACUAUUUGGCUAGAGUCCGGAAGAGGAGAGUGGAAUUCCUGGUGUAGCGGUGAAAUGCGCAGAUAUCAGAAGAACACCCGUGGCGAAGGCGGCUCUCUGGGACGGUACUGACGCUGAGACGCGAAAGCGUGGGGAGCGAACAGGAUUAGAUACCCUGGUAGUCCACGCCGUAAACGAUGGGUGCUAGGUGUGGGGGGUGUCAACUCCCUCCGUG
rnacentral:rRNA from 1 species